GUGCCACAGGUGGAGGGAGAACAACAGAGUCACACACGCCAGUAACAGAGCUCGUGUAUUUCCCGGGUUAAUCCCCUCCAAAGUAAAAUCCAUGAUGGGGAUCCUGCAGGAGAAUAUGAUAAAUACACAUUUAUCCUGCCCAUGCUUUGAAGCCCCACUGCACCGAGUGAAAUCAUUUAUCCACAAACGCAGCGCAGCAUCACGGCCCGUCAGCGUCUCUGUGUGCGCGCUGGCUUUGUUUCAGUGGGCAGUCUGUACAGGAUAUGUGGCUCUGCUUCUGCUCGGGCCUCCGCUCAGGUCUGUGGUUGUGAUGUGAUUCGGGGAUCCGGCUUCAGCACCGCGGACAGCGGCUCAGAUAAACCUGCUGAUCUCCUCUGGCCCUCAACUUCUCCUCUGAGCUUCAGCUCCAGCAUCUUUUAGUUUCAACACAAACUACCGCCAAAUGUGAUGCUAUUGAUUAUGUGUUUUGGUAUUUAAAAAAAUUAUUUAUAUUUAAAAAAAUUAAAUUAAUGAAAUUAACAAAUAAAGCUCUCUAGUAGCACCAAGAUAUAUUGUAGUAUCCUAAUUUGAUUAUAACAUAAUGAUAUUAUUGUACUUAAUAGAAUAUUUGGACCUCUAUAAUAUCAUCAUAACCUAGAGGAAAUUAUGUACUUUAUACUUGUGCCGUGGUGAUAAAUACAGUUCAUUAUUUGUAGUAGUUUACAGAAUAAUAGGCUA